AUUGAACGCUGGCGGCAGGCUUAACACAUGCAAGUCGAACGAGCGGCGGACGGGUGAGUAAUGUCGGGGACAGUGCCUGAUGGAGGGGGAUAACUACUGGAAACGGUAGCUAAUACCGCAUACUAUGAGAUGUGCCCAGAUGGGAUUAGCUUGUAGGUGGGGUAAUGGCUCACCUAGGCGACGAUCCCUAGCUGGUCUGAGAGGAUGACCAGCCACACUGGAACUGAGACACGGUCCAGACUCCUACGGGAGGCAGCAGUGGGGAAUAUUGCACAAUGGGCGAAAGCCUGAUGCAGCCAUGCCGCGUGUGUGAAGAAGGCCUUCGGGUUGUAAAGUACUUUCAGCGGGGAGGCGUUACCCGCAGAAGAAGCACCGGCUAACUCCGUGCCAGCAGCCGCGGUAAUAC
rnacentral:rRNA from 1 species